AGUGAACGCUGGCGGCAGGCCUAACACAUGCAAGUCGAACGGCAGCACAGUGGAGCUUGCUCCAUGGGUGGCGAGUGGCGGACGGGUGAGGAAUACAUCGGAAUCUGCCCAGUCGUGGGGAUAACAUAGGGAAACUUAUGCUAAUACCGCAUACGACCUACGGGUGAAAGCGGGGAUCGCAAGACCUCGCGCGAUUGGAUGAGCCGAUGUCCGAUUAGCUAGUUGGCGGGGUAAUGGCCCACCAAGGCGACGAUCGGUAGCUGGUCUGAGAGGAUGAUCAGCCACACUGGAACUGAGACACGGUCCAGACUCCUACGGGAGGCAGCAGUGGGGAAUAUUGGACAAUGGGCGCAAGCCUGAUCCAGCCAUGCCGCGUGGGUGAAGAAGGCC
rnacentral:rRNA from 1 species